rnacentral:lncRNA from 13 species
CACACACAGAGAGAGAGAGAGAGAGAGAGAGAGAGAGAGAAAGAGAAACAAAGAGGGAAAGAGAAGAAUGCUAAAUACCAGGAAUUACACAAGAGCGCGCAACUAUCUAUUUAUUGCGUAACGCAUAGAGCGCAUAAAGGUAAUUAACAGUGUAAUUAAUCGGCGCGCAACAAGACACCAACUCUUUAAACGCCGCAAAUCCAUCUCGGGGAAUUAACACAGCAGAAAAGAAAAACCAACCGACACCAACCAGCCGAACAACUUCAUCCGAUAUAUCCCUCGCGUAUAACGUUACGUUCGCUGGAGCACCUAGGCCAUAUUCCGUUUCUGCUGUUCCAUUGCAAAACCGGACACUGUAUAUUUCGUUACGCGAUAUCGCGCAUUGUGCGAGGCUUAUAGAUAAUUUUUUGAUUCAGAGACGUGCCUGGCCAGCAUGCAAUGCAGCCAAAGCUAGAAGCAAUUAAAACCGAGAUUUAUUAAAUUGUACUUUAAUGUAUUACAAAAUGUGAUAAAAUUGUCAAUAUUCAUUACGCUUAAAAUUAAAAUUAAAAUGUUUCACAUUUA